GGAGACGUAGCUCAGCUGGUCAGAGCGCGAGGCCCUUAACCUCGAGGUCGAAGGUUCGAAUCCUUCCGUUCUCC
rnacentral:tRNA from 1 species